AUUGUGUCUUUGUACAACCAUUCGAGGACACAGUUUCGCGAAAUUUUUCAUCGCCAUAAAAUAUAUUAAGAGUUAUAUUUAUAUAGUUACGCGACAAGUAAAUACAUUAUCAUACAUACGAAAACCAAGUAUGUUCGCAAUCACGUCGUCGUGGCGAUACUGUACACGCUUAAAAUUUACCGCCAUACAGAUAAGAACGAAAUUGUAUUGUUGCGUUCUUACAACCUAUCGCAACCUAUUUAAGGUUAUAUUUUACACAUUUUUUUGUGAAACAUGAAUAACUGGCCAAUCAUCUUGUACUCCUAACGAUUCGUCCUUCCAAGAUAACUAUUAAACGUACAAUCGAAUUGCUCGUACGACAAUGUGACAAUGGUGAAAAACAAAUUCACAUUAAGAGAUAGGUUAAGAUUCUUUCAAAGUUCUUUUAACGUUGCAUUCUUUUUAAUUGACACGAGAGAAUAACGUCCUAGUUGAGAAAAAUGAGCAAACUAUGGAACUAUCUAAUAUUUCAAGGAUGGAUAUCGUAUUUAAUGGCAGCCGGCUUGCUUAUUUUCACGAGCGGCUUCCUACUUACUCGCGUUUCCAGAUCGGAGCGCGCAGAAUGCAAAUAUUGCACAAAUCCUGGUGGAUGCAACAUCGAAGAGCUCCUUCAAGAUCCCAAAGUCGCUGCAAGUACUUGUCUCGAAAGGAAUACUCGCGUCGUGUUGUUAGUCGUUGACGCCUUGAAAUAUGAUUUUGUACACUGGUAUAACGAUAACAGUUCUGCCUCAUUGUAUUACCACAAUAAGCUGCCAAUAAUCCACGAGCUGUUGCAAAAUCAACCUAUGAAUUCACGUUUGUAUAAAUUCAUAGCGGAUCCACCAACCACGACUAUGCAAAGGUUGAAAGGUUUCACUACCGGAUCUUUACCUACUUUCAUUGACGUUGGAUCAAAUUUUGCAUCCGAAAGCAUAGACGAAGAUAACAUUAUCGAUCAAAAUAUUGCCAAAGGUAUUGUUUUCAUGGGCGAUGAUACUUGGACAAAUUUAUUUCCUGGCAAAUUCAAACGUCAAUUUCCAUCGCCGUCUUUUAAUGUUUGGGAUCUCGAUACCGUCGAUAGAGACGUUCGAUAUCGUAUAUUCUUUGAAAUGAAAAAGAGAGAUUGGUCCCUACUCAUAGCGCAUGUUCUUGGAAUCGAUCAUUGCGGACACAAACACGGCGCCAAUCAUCCUGAAAUGACAAGAAAAUUAAACGAUACCAAUACUCUGAUAAAAGAAAUCAUUGAAUCUUUGGAAGAAGAUAUGGUACUUUUUGUUGUGGGCGAUCAUGGAAUGACGGAGAGCGGCGAUCACGGCGGCGAUAGUUUAAACGAAGUCGAAGCUGCCAUGUUCGUUUAUUCUAUGCUUCCUCUUCUAAAACAUGAUUUAGCUCGCGAUACCGUGAAUCAAAUCGAUCUGGUUCCUACGUUGGCAUCCAUUCUUGGGACGCCUAUACCUUUUUCCAACUUAGGAUCCGUCAUACUCGGUUCGCUGCCAAGUUUGACGAGAAUUAGAGAUUCGGAACAAGGUUUAUGGUAUUCGUUGCAUUCGGUAUGGAGAAAUAUUGUACAAACAAAAAAAUAUAUAGACACGUAUUCUAUGGAUAACUAUCUGUUUUCUGAAGACCAACUCGAGAAUUUAGAAAAUGUAUAUAAUCAUCUAUUCAAACGGAUAAAGCAUGUACAUACCAACGAAGAAUUUGAAUUAUUCAUUCAGGAUAGUAACAGCUAUUUCAAACUACUUAAAGAUACAUGUUCCAAAGUCUGGGUUCAAUUUGAUUCUAGCCUAAUGUCGAAAGGCCUACUUUUAAUGUUUUGCACAUUAUUUUUCUAUUACCUUUUUAUUACAGGCAUUCCGGAAAGCCGUAUGUCGAAGAUAUUUCAAUCGGCAUUUUUACAAUGUUCCGUGUUAGCAAAUUUAAUUACCGCACUGGUAAUCUUUUUCUUAUUCUUCUUCGAUAUUUUAGAGGAACUAAAAAAUACCACGUUCUUUGCUACCGGUGCGGUGUCCAUAAUAUUAUUAGUAGUAUUAAUCGCUAAGAAUUGGGAUGUAAUUUCGAUGAGAUGGUACGAUUAUCGUAAGAUUAGGAAAUUGAUUUACAUUGCUAGAGUGAUACUCCUUUUAACGGUAUGCAGUCUUUUCUCUAACAGUUACAUUGUCGAGGAAGAUAAUGUACUAUCCUUUCUACUUGUUACUCUUGUUUGGUUACUUACAUUUAAUAUAAGAAAAGAAAAUUCUAACGAAAUUUCGGAUAGGAAAGCAAAGCCAUUCUUUAAAUCGCCAACAAAGUCAAAUUUAAAGGCAAUUAUAAUUGUCAUCGGUUUAAUAGCAUGCAUUUCUAUAAGACUGUCUCAUUAUUUUUGGCGUUGUCGAGAGGAGCAGGAACAACGCGUGUGUUCUCUCUUUGUAACUGGAAAAGCAGGUUCUAUAACAACAAACAAUAUAGAACGUGUUUUACUUGCCAUCACCUUGAUUGUACUUGCAUUAUACAUUACGAUAGUAAGACUGUGGUUACAAAAUUGUGGGAAUCUUACCGGUUUUUCUCCUGGUGUUCUGGUAGGACAAUAUUGUCCUGUUGUAAUUGGUGUUUGCAUGGGUUGUUAUUGGGUCCUUCAGCGGUUACCUAAAUUUGUCAAAAUAAAAUUCGCAUUGUCUUGGCAAGUAAGUACAUUGCCCAACAUAGUGUAUGCGUUGUGUGUGUUUGCAAUUUUUGUUCUUUACUACCGUCCGCUCAGUAUAUUUCUACUGCCAAAGAAGAAAGAAUCGAUUAAUAUAUACGAUGACGAGAAUAUUGUACCCCGAUUAUUUGAGAAAAUAAAGGAGUCGAUUUAUCGUAAGAAAAUAGACACAGAUGAAACACCAGUUGUUUACGGCUUGGGCACUGCUUAUAGUGCUGCAUUUAUCUCGUUGAGCGUAUUUCUUAUGCUGUUAUAUUCUUUAUUAUUAGGGGAUAUUUUAUCGCCUAGUACUUUCUUGAUGUUUAUAUCUUGUGCCUCUGUUUUGGGCGUAUCUGCGAUAGAACGAUACAAGAAUGCUAACAGUAUAUCAGAGCUUGUAGAAGUAUCUACGCCUGCCUUGAUAUGUUGGUUUUUGAUAGCCGAAUAUUUCUUUUAUGGAACCGGGCAUCAACCAACUUUUCCUACCAUUCAUUGGGAUGCUGCUUUUGUAGGCACAGGUGGACAUUUCUAUGGAAGCUUCCUACCAGCAAUCCUAAUAGGGAUAAACACGUUUGGAUCGCACAUUAUAUUAGGUGCAACGUUACCAUUAUUGGUGAUCGUACCAUUUACUUUGUACCUUGUAUUUCCAAAGUUAGUUAAAGUAAAAUUUUUGGAAAACGACAUGAAAAGAGGAGAACUACUUCUGUUUGAACAAGACUCUGUAUUUCAUACUGCAAUUUUCUCGGUCGCAGGAAAGUAUACACUUCUUCACGGAAUUAGAACUUUCGGCAGCAUGCUUGCCGCGACGAUUCACUGUCGGCAUUUAAUGGUUUGGAAGAUCUUCGCGCCAAAGUUAAUAUUCGAAGGCUUGGGACUGUUAGUAACGUUAAGCAGCGUCCUAGCGUCCUUUUAUAUGGUGUUCAGAAUCGAUCAACAAAUGGAACAUCUUAUAUCCAGAGUGACGAAAGGCAGAUGAUAGUGAUCACUUUCGAUGGUGUAUAAUACAGUUAACUAGUAAAGUACCAAUGUUUUCAAACGUAACUUUAAUAUAAGAAUGUGUGCGGUGGCUCGUUACUCGUAACAUUAGAAACGUGUUUUUAUCGAAGAACAAACAAAUAGAUAUUCAACGUCAACAAUCACCGAUACUGCCAAUGUUUCCAGAAUUUUAUAUGACUUUAUAUAAGAGACAGUUAAACGUAUUUACUACAGAAGUUACGCCGAAGAUCUUAGUACGCGAGUAUGAAACAUUGUUUUCCUUUGGUUCGUUAAAGACCAAGCUAUAAUAUUAAUUCUGGUGCUUCCUAACACACUAACGCUACCCUGCGUGCAAUGCAUUGCUGAUUACAGAGGAACAAAGCAACGCACUUGAUGCAGGAUUGCGUCCAUGUGCGCUGGUAUCUGCUUGACCGAUGUAUCUUUCUUCUUAUGCACUAAAAAAUAGUAAAAUUCGUAAAGUUCGUGCCUUUCGUUGACACAUGGUUUUGUGUUGUCCAUGUAUUUUGCAAAACACUUUAUUGAACGAAAUUAUCAAGCGUACACUUUAUGUAUUGUAUGCGAAUGUGAUCAUUUUAAAGGCAAAAGUUU